GGGUUGUGAGGUUAAGCGACUAAGCGUACACGGUGGAUGCCCUGGCAGUCAGAGGCGAUGAAGGACGUGCUAAUCUGCGAUAAGCGCCGGUAAGGUGAUAUGAACCGUUAUAACCGGCGAUUUCCGAAUGGGGAAACCCAGUGUGACUCGUCACACUAUCAUUAACUGAAUACAUAGGUUAACGAAGCGAACCGGGGGAACUGAAACAUCUAAGUACCCCGAGGAAAAGAAAUCAACAGAGAUUCCCCCAGUAGCGGCGAGCGAACGGGGAGGAGACCAGAGCCUGAAUCAGCAUGUGUGUUAGUGGAAGCGUCUGGAAAGGCGCGCGAUACAGGGUGACAGCCCCGUACACAAAAGCGCAUGUGCUGUGAGCUCGAUGAGUAGGGCGGGACACGUGGUAUCCUGUCUGAAUAUGGGGGGACCAUCCUCCAAGGCUAAAUACUCCUGACUGACCGAUAGUGAACCAGUACCGUGAGGGAAAGGCGAAAAGAACCCCGGCGAGGGGAGUGAAAAAGAACCUGAAACCGUGUACGUACAAGCAGUGGGAGCCCCACCACCAAAGCAUUCUCUGGUGUUGAAGGCCCUGCAAAGCAGCAUCGCGGUGGCGGAGCGUCGUUUGCGACGCCCAACACACAAAACAAGCGGUGAGUGCUUUGGGGUGGGGUGACUGCGUACCUUUUGUAUAAUGGGUCAGCGACUUAUAUUCUGUAGCAAGGUUAACCGUAUAGGGGAGCCGAAGGGAAACCGAGUCUUAACUGGGCGUUAAGUUGCAGGGUAUAGACCCGAAACCCGGUGAUCUAGCCAUGGGCAGGUUGAAGGUUGGGUAACACUAACUGGAGGACCGAACCGACUAAUGUUGAAAAAUUAGCGGAUGACUUGUGGCUGGGGGUGAAAGGCCAAUCAAACCGGGAGAUAGCUGGUUCUCCCCGAAAGCUAUUUAGGUAGCGCCUCGUGAACUCAUCUUCGGGGGUAGAGCACUGUUUCGGCUAGGGGGUCAUCCCGACUUACCAACCCGAUGCAAACUGCGAAUACCGAAGAAUGUUAUCACGGGAGACACACGGCGGGUGCUAACGUCCGUCGUGAAGAGGGAAACAACCCAGACCGCCAGCUAAGGUCCCAAAGUCACAGUUAAGUGGGAAACGAUGUGGGAAGGCUCAGACAGCCAGGAUGUUGGCUUAGAAGCAGCCAUCAUUUAAAGAAAGCGUAAUAGCUCACUGGUCGAGUCGGCCUGCGCGGAAGAUGUAACGGGGCUAAACCAUGCACCGAAGCUGCGGCAGCGA
rnacentral:rRNA from 1 species